AAUCUGGCUUUAGGUCGGGGACAACAGUUGGAAACGACUGCUAAUACCGGAUAUGCCGAGAGGUGAAAGAUUAAUUGCCUGAAGAAGAGCUCGCGUCUGAUUAGCUAGUUGGUGGGGUAAGAGCUUACCAAGGCGACGAUCAGUAGCUGGUCUGAGAGGACGAUCAACCACACUGGGACUGAGACACGGCCCAGACUCCUACGGGAGGCAGCAGUGGGGAAUUUUCCGCAAUGGGCGAAAGCCUGACGGAGCAAUACCGCGUGAGGGAGGAAGGCUCUUGGGUUGUAAACCUCUUUUCUUAGGGAAGAAAAAAAUGACGGUACCUAAGGAAUCAGCAUCGGCUAACUCCGUGCCAGCAGCCGCGGUAAUACGGAGGAUGCAAGCGUUAUCCGGAAUGAUUGGGCGUAAAGCGUCCGCAGGUGGCAUUUCAAGUCUGCGGUCAAAGGUCGAGGCUCAACCUCGAACAGGCCGUGGAAACUGAAAAGCUAGAGUGUGGUAGGGGCAGAGGGAAUUCCCAGUGUAGCGGUGAAAUGCGUAGAGAUUGGGAAGAACACCGGUGGCGAAAGCGCUCUGCUAGGCCAAGACUGACACUGAGGGACGAAAGCUAGGGGAGCGAAUGGGAUUAGAUACCCCAGUAGUCCUAGCCGUAAACGAUGGAUACUA
rnacentral:rRNA from 1 species